rnacentral:rRNA from 1 species
UACGUAGGGUGCAAGCGUUGUCCGGAAUUAUUUGGGUCGGUAAAGAGCUCGGUAGGUCGGUCUGUCGGCGAUCUGCCGUGUCGAAAACUCAGGGCUUAACCCGUGAGCUUGCAGUGGGUACGGGCAGACGUAGAGGUGCGGGAGGGGAGACGUGGAAUUCCGUGGGUGAUAGCGGUGAAAUUGCGCAGAAUAUCAGGAGGAACACCGGUGGCCGAAGGCGGGUCUCUGG